rnacentral:lncRNA from 1 species
GGAAGCGUGAAAUGUGAAACGUGGAGUGUACGUGGGAAAGAAGAGCAAUAAAAGGACCUGCAGCUAAAGAGGCAACGUGGUCGGGUGAGAGGAGGGGAUGGGGAUGGAAACUCACACAGCUGAGUGGGGCUAAAAGGGACGUUUGAGGAUUACUGGCCUAGCACAAAACAUCUGCCCUUAAGGCGAAACCCUCUUAAAACCUUUGGCGGCUUUCCAGAGAAGACGCCGAUUCCUGAAAAUUGCAAGGCUCUCCGGCGGGCUGGGAGUGGGAGGCGCUCCCGGUGUCCCCCAGCAUGUGGGAGUCGGCGGGACCUGAGCCCCGCCUUCCUGCAGCGGCCGGGACGUGCCGUGUGGCACGCUACCCGCCGCGCGCGCAUCCUGUCCCCCGCCCUCGGAAUCCCAGCACGGGGGCCGAGCCCCGAGCUACAUUCCUCCUCCUCCUUCUUCGCCACCCAAAGACUCACGCAUACACACAUUUUUCUUUCGUAUCUGCUGUCUCAGCCUCCCUCGGGCCAAUUUGGGUAAAUGCGUCCAAGAGGAAGAAAUAAAAAUGAAAAGACUGACAGUUUAAAAGCAUGUGGAGGGCUUAGAAGAUAAAGACGAGUGCAAGAAAGGGAGAGCGCGGCCGGCCGCGGUGUCUCACGCCUGUCAUCCUAGCACUUUGGGAGGCCGAAGAGAUCGGAUCACUUGAGAGUAUCGAGCUGUCGCCCAGGCUGGAGUGCAAUGGCAUGAUCUUGGCUCACUGCAACCUCUGCCUCCCGCGUUCUAAGUGAUUCUCCUUCCUCAGCCUCCCGAAUAGCUGGGAUUAUAGGCACGCACCAUCAUGCAUGGCUAAUUUUGUAUUUUUAGUAGAGAUGGGGUUUCCCCAUGUUGGCCAGGCUGGUCUCGAACUCCUGAUCUCAGGUUAUCCACCCGCCUCAGCCUCUCCAAGUGCUGGGAUUACAAGUGUGAGCCACCGCACCCCGCCCUAAUCUCAGCCUUUUUAUAUCUUCUUGGUAGGCCCACUUUUUGGCAUCCCCUAACAAGAAGUCCUCAGAGAUUUUUACUACUCAACAUGUGUGCGUCCCACUCAGAUGUAUUGUGUUCUUUCUGUUCACCCUCUACUUCCCAUUCCAUUUCUUCCUCUGACUUAGGGUUAGAAUGGCCCAAUGAUCCUACAACUUUUUGAUGCUAUUUCAUUUGAUUCCUCUACUGUCUAAAUCACAAGUUGGCUAACUUUACUUACUGUAAGGGAUCAGAUAGCAAAUAGUUUAGGCCUUGUGGGCCAUUCAAUCUGUCAUAACUACCCACUCUGACCAUAUGUAGUGCAAAAGCAGCCCUUGACAAUAUAUAAAUGAAUGAACGUGAAUGUAUUUCAAUAAAGCUUUACUUGUGGACACUGAAAUUUGAAUUUUAUAUCAUUUUCACAAGCCACAAAAUAAUUAUUUUGAUUCCCCCCCACCCUCAAUCAUUUAAA